rnacentral:rRNA from 1 species
AGAACGAACGCUGGCGGCAUGCCUAAUACAUGCAAGUCGAACGAACACUUCGGUGUUAGUGGCGCACGGGUGCGUAACGCGUGGGAAUCUGCCCUUGGGUUCGGAAUAACAGUUGGAAACGACUGCUAAUACCGGAUGAUAUCGAAAGAUCAAAGAUUUAUCGCCCAGGGAUGAGCCCGCGUAGGAUUAGCUAGUUGGUGAGGUAAAGGCUCACCAAGGCGACGAUCCUUAGCUGGUCUGAGAGGAUGAUCAGCCACGACUGGGACUGAGACGACGGCCCAGACUCCGUACGGGAG